GUUUCCUUGGAACUGAAGUUGCUUUUCCAGAAUCUGGUUAACAUUCAGAAUUCGAAAGGGAAUAUAAAAUAAAACUGUUCAAUGUCAGGUCAUUUCUUUCAAGAGUCUACAACUAAAUGCUGUGCAGUGUGGGCUGGACACAUGGAACUGAGUUUCCAUUAUGUUCAAUCAUGCAAAAUUUGAUCAAUGUAGUGGACAUUUGUUAUGUUACAGUGACCCUGCCAGGUAGCUGGGAAGCCUAUCUUAACUUCUGAGAUCAUGUGACAUUAUGAAGUAUACAUCCAAAACUAAACAUUGUUUCUCUGUCUGCCUACUUCAAUAUUUUAAUAGGAAAACUGUCAGUGAGAAUCUUAUUUGCAAAUGAUUUGUGUG
rnacentral:lncRNA from 1 species